rnacentral:rRNA from 1 species
GCCACGCCCGCUCAGAAACGUUAAAGGAAUUGACGGGGGCCCGCACAAGCGGUGGAGUAUGUGGUUUAAUUCGAUGCAACGCGAAGAACCUUACCUGGUCUUGACAUCCCGGAGACCCUUAGGAAACUAGGGGGUGCUUCCAUCUGGAAGAAUCUGGAGACAGGUGCUGCAUGGCUGUCGUCAGCUCGUGUCGUGAGAUGUUGGGUUAAGUCCCGCAACGAGCGCAACCCUUGCCUUUAGUUGCCAGCAGUUCGGCUGGGCACUCUAAAGGGACUGCCGGUGUUAAACCGGAGGAAGGUGGGGAUGACGUCAAGUCCUCAUGGCCUUUAUGACCAGGGCUACACACGUACUACAAUGGCCGAUACAAAGGGCAGCGACACUGCGAGGUGAAGCCAAUCCCGUAAAAUCGGUCUCAGUCCGGAUUGGAGUCUGCAACUCGACUCCAUGAAGUUGGAAUCGCUAGUAAUCGUGGAUCAGCAUGCCACGGUGAAUACGUUCCCGGGCCUU